rnacentral:rRNA from 1 species
GAUGAACGCUAGCGGCAGGCUUAACACAUGCAAGUCGAGGGGCAGCAUGAAGGUUAGCAAUAACCUUUGAUGGCGACCGGCGCAAGGGUGCGUAACGCGUGAGCAACUUGCCCGUUUCAGGGGGAUAACCGGUGGAAACGCCGACUAAUACCCCAUGGCAUCAUUGGGAGGCAUCUCCUUCUGAUUAAAGAAUUUCGGAAACGGAUAGGCUCGCGUGACAUUAGCUAGACGGCGGGGUAACGGCCCACCGUGGCGACGAUGUCUAGGGGUUCUGAGAGGAAGGUCCCCCCANACUGGAACUGAGACACGGUCCAGACUCCUACGGGAGGCAGCAGUGAGGAAUAUUGGUCAAUGGUCUGACGACUGAACCAGCCAUGCCGCGUGAAGGUCACGGCCCUAUGGGUCUUAAACUUCUUUUGCUAAGGGAGCAAUUAAGCCUCACGUGUGGGGCGAUGAGAGUACCUUG